rnacentral:rRNA from 1 species
GACGAACGCUGGCGGCGUGCUUAACACAUGCAAGUCGAACGGAAAGACCCUGCUUUUGUGGGGUGCUCGAGUGGCGAACGGGUGAGUAACACGUGAGUAACCUGCCCUUGACUUUGGGAUAACUUCAGGAAACUGGGGCUAAUACCGGAUAGGAUCUCCUGCUGCAUGGUGGGGGUUGGAAAGUUUCGGCGGUUGGGGAUGGAUUAGCGGCUUAUCAGCUUGUUGGUGUGGUAGUGGCUUACCAAGGCUUUGACGGGUAGCCGGCCUGAGAGGGUGACCGGCCACAAUGGGACUGAGAUACGGCCCAGACGCCUACGGGAGGCAGUAGGGGGGAAUAUUGCACAAUGGGCGGAAGCCUGAGGCAGCAACGCCGCGUGCGGGAUGACGGCCUUCGGGUUGUAAACCGCUUUCGCCUGUGACGAAGAGUGAGUGACGGUAAUGGGUAAAGAAGCACCGGCUAACUACGUG